rnacentral:snRNA from 1 species
GUGCUUGCUUCGGCAGCACAUAUACUA